CUUUUGAGGGCAGACUGCCAAGG
rnacentral:piRNA from 1 species